rnacentral:rRNA from 1 species
UACGUAGGGUGCGAGCGUUAAUCGGAAUUACUGGGCGUAAAGCGUGCGCAGGCGGUUGGUUAAGUCUGAUGUGAAAGCCCCGGGCUCAACCUGGGAAUGGCAUUGGAAACUGGCCAGCUGGAGUGUGGCAGAGGGGGGGUGGAAUUCCGCGUGUAGCAGUGAAAUGCGCAGAUAUCAGGAGGAACACCGGUGGCGAAGGCGGGUCUCUGGGCCGAUACUGACGCUGAGGAGCGAAAGCGUGGGGAGCAAACAGG